GUCGGCUCAGUCGGCUCAGUUUUGGUGAACACGCCCCUUGCGCCGCCGACUCCUUGAGUUCCCGGGUGACGUCAGGGCAACAGGGCGGGGUGACGUCUCGGCGUCUCCGCCUCCAUCAUGUAAAAGCCGCACUGCUGAAGAAGACUGUGGCUCACUUCGCGGAAGAGGGGGCAGUGUUGGUUUGGCAAUUAUAUGGUCACUUGCUUUCCUCCAGCAGUAUGUGUGGUUGAUUCUAAAUGUUAAACUCUUUUAAGUUAUCAUUUGUUAUCAACAUCCUUUAAAGCUACUUGGUUGAGCAUGAUUAUCAUAUUCUCUCUCUCUCUCUCUCUCUCUCUCUCUCUCUCUCUCUCUCUCUCUCUCUCUCUCUCUCUCUCUAUUAUUAUAUUAUUAUUAUUUUUUAUGGAGAUUCACCUGAUUUGGAAAUACAUUAAUUGCUUUAUUAUGGUCAGGAUGGUGAUUAAUCCAUAACCGUACUGCAGAAUGUAAACACCCUGAAUGGGACGUCAGUACGUCGCAUGUUUUGGGGAUGCAGGAGGAAACCAGAGAAAGUACAUCAAAGCCUCACGGACGUGUGGAAAACACAGACAGUAAUCCAAGCUUAAGAUCGAAUGCUGGAGCUGUGAAGGUGUCAGUAUGCCUUCAAUUUGUAAACUGAGGUUGUAUAAACGUGCAGAAGGUCAGACGGCAUGCUGCCCUAUAACUAUUUUCUCACUCAUAUUGUAAAUGUUAAUCAGUCUGUCAGUUUGCAUUAAUAAAUUAAUUCAUGUGGAUUUAUAAAGUGAAUCCAGAGUUAUCAAGAGAACACCCUGAAUUGUGGAUCAAGUGGAUUGAGUGCUGGAACGUAAAGAAAACGUGAUCAGACCAGAAAUCUUUACCCGAGUCGAUGUCAUGGUGGAUGCAGAUCCUAACCAGAUUAGAUUCAGCAGUGAAUGGAGGUUCCUUUUGGCAUCGAAAGCAGAAGGCUGUGACGUUUCAUUGGCAAUCAGAUCGAAAAAACAUGUGUAGUCAAGGUGAAUACAUGCAGAUCAGCACUUCUGAAAUCUCUGUAUCAACAUUGUAUGAGACCCAUGAGGAGGAAUCUCUAUGGAAACAAUAUAUAGAGGAGCUUAGGGAGGAGAGAAAAGUUACCUCCUAUGUGCUGCCUUUGUGCUAUCACUUAUUGAACAAGAUGAACAAAGUUGCGGAGGAGUCUGAGGGGGCGAAGGCGUUAUAAAUCUUGACCUUUGCUUUCAAAACAUGCAACAAUCAUGACCUUGGUUCAAUGUGCAGAAGAAGACUGGCAUUCAAAAGCAACUGCCCUUCAGGCACGAAGAUCAUCUGUUGAGAGGAAGGCGCAGAAGUAAUCACUUUAUCCUGCUCGGAUCAUGGUGGAUCAGGAGUCUAUCCUGGGAAAAGUCAUGGGAAGAACACACCAUGAAUACAUGAGUAUACUGUCUUAUUCACUCAUUCACACCUUUAAACACCUGAAUGUAGCCAGUUGAAUUUUUUUUUUUUUUUUGGAGGAGGUGUAAAAUAUGUGAUGUUCUCAUGCAAUGUAAGAUUUGAGACUCGAAGGUGCAAGGUUAUUCUAAAACCCACAGACCUUGCUUGCAUUUUGCACUCUAUAAAAUAAAGCUUUUCCUUAGUUUCUUAUUCCCUGGGGAAACAAUUAAAGGCUAUUUGUAGAAAAAACGGCAACAUGUCGCAUGUUUAAUUGGCAUAAAAAUGCAUUUCUGAAGCUGCAUCGAGCUAAUUUCAUGGAAGAGCUAUGCAACAAUUUUAACCAGUGUCACAUCGGCUUUUCUCAUCAAUUGUGGAUGGAAUGAUGCUUGAAUGUUUUGUAAGUCUUCUACAAUUUAGUUGCCACCACCAACAUGAUGAGUGGGAUGAUUUGGAAGCCAUUAGAAAAAAAGAAAACAUGUAAAUCAAAGAGCGCAAUCCUGGAUGCAGAGUACAGAGACCUUUGUAUUCAGACAUGAACACAAUACAGUAUGUGUUAUAAACAUAAAAUACAAGAAAACAAACAUGUGCUGUGUUAAUUAAUAGCUUAAUUAAUUAACUUAUGCAAAUCAUUUUAUCACAGGAAAAAGAAAAGUUUUUAUCAUAAUUUUAAAAAGCUUGUGGGAGUCAUUUCUGUAGCCAAAUACAGUAUUCAAUAUUUUAUAAAAGACCGUACAUAUAUAUAUAUAUAUAAAACAUCCCUAAUGUUUAAUGUUUUAUUAGGUGAUAUAUACAGCCAGGCAGUGCAAAAUAUACUGCUUAUUACUGUUAUCUGCACAUCUUGCUAUGAAUGAGAAACAACGAUUGUCCUUUGAAUUGCAUUUGAAUGAAAAAUAAUAUUAAUGUGUCACAGUCAUGCUGCUUGCCCGUGUACAUCACCGCAUGUAACAUCUGUGUUCUGAGACAGAACAGUGCAGGAACAAUUUGUUGUGUGCAUGUAUAAGUAAUUCAUCACAUUGUUUUCCGGUAGACCUGAAACACACACACAAAAUAUUUUAUAUAUAGGCUCCCUAUGCAACAACAGCUAAGACACAUCAAUGCAUGGACUCCACAAGAUCUCUGAAGGGGUGCUGUGAUAUCUGUGGUAUCUGGCACCAUUUGGUUAGCAGCAGAUUCUUGUACUGUAUGUUGUGUCCUGUAUCUUGAGUCCUGUAUGUUGUGUUUUUGGAUCAGACUUGUUUGUCCAACACAUCCCACUGAUGCUCGAUCAAUUCGAGUUUUGGGGAAUUUGGUAAAGUCAACACCUUUGACUCUUUGUCAUGUUUUUUUUUUCUGCAGUGUGGUUGUGUGCAUUAUCCUGCUGUUGAAUUGCUUCAAAAGGGUUGUACUUGGUCUAUACAAUGUUUAGGUAGGUGGAACAUGUCAAAGAAACAUCCACAUAAAUGACAGGACUCAAUGUUUCCCAGCAGAACAUUGCCCAGAGCAUCACACUCUGUGUCAGAUUGCCCACUUACCAUUGAGCAUCCACUUCGAGAACUGACUAUACACUUGCUACACUAAUGUAUCCCACCCCUUGACAGGUGCCAUCGUGACAAUAUGAUCGUUGUCAUUUACUUCACCUGUCUAUGGUUUUAAUGUUAUAGUUGAUAUACCUUUCUCAAGUCUAUUUUCCUUACAAAUACGUAAUAUGUAAUAUGUAAUAUCUACUUUCUCUAGACAUUGUAGUACCUAAAAUAUUUUGGAAUGCCUAAAUUUGCAUGGCAAGGCAUUUAAUAUUCAAUCUGUACUUUUUAGACUAUACAUUUUGCCCCCAAAAAAUCGCAGAUGUCUGGAUGUAGAUUUAGAUCCCUUAUAAGCAAAGCUGAAGAGAUACUGGCUAUAUUUACACGCAACGCCACAGUAUUCAUUCCGAAUAGAUUAAUUCCGAGUGCCGAUUCUGAAUGAACUGCUUAUACAUAUCCUUUAUUUGCAAGUUAGACGUAAUCCGAUACAAAGUAAUCAGCAUGCGGGGAGUGGGAUUUAGUGUCAACAUUACCAUAACAACAAGUAGCACAUGAAACCAGACAGAGGGUGCCAACAAUAUCGCAUCCAAGUGUAAUUACUGAAUGCAAGAUGAAGAGAAGAUGAUCACCUUGUCGUUAAUGUUGCAUUGUGAAACAAGGAUUCUCUCGUUGA